rnacentral:rRNA from 1 species
UACAGAGGUCUCAACCGUUGUUCGGAUUCAUUGGGCGUAAAGGGUGCGUAGGCGGUCGCGCAAGUCGGAUGUGAAAUCUUAGGGCUCAACCCUGAAACUGCAUUCGAUACUGCGUGGCUCGAGUACUGGAGAGGAGACUGGAAUUUACGGUGUAGCAGUGAAAUGCGUAGAUAUCGUAAGGAAGACCAGUGGCGAAGGCGAGUCUCUGGACAGUUCCUGACGCUGAGGCACGAAGGCCAGGGGAGCAAACGGG